UUCGUCAAAAUGAGGUAAAGCAAAUCAAAUAAAUACAUUUAAAACGAUUUCCAAAAAUAUUUCUAAAUAGGCUGAAAUAUAAAACCAUGAUGAAGGUGAGGAGGCGUCAAGGCGAAUCGUCCUCGGCGUUACAUCUCCGGUGCCAUCUACGAGGAUCAGUGCAGAUAAUCAGGUGGCGACGCAAAAGGAAAUAAAGAAAUAUUUCCCAAUAUUUCUUCAACAGAAAAAGAAGGCGCAAAUGAGAAGCAACCCCUACCAACAACAUUAAAGGAACACAAGAAUAGAACAUUAGAUUUUUGGACAGACAACGACAUAAGCAAUUUAAUAUCAAACGUUAUCUAUGCAAAACAACAUGGCAUUUGUUAUUAUAUUAAAUAUGCUUGCCAAAAAAUGAGCAUGACAAGGAGCAUCAAAGACUAUAGAAACAAAGUGGAGUCUCUUAUGAAGCUGUGCAAUCAAAAUAAAAUGGCAUUCACUACUUUAUAUAAUAUAACAGCAAAAGGUGCUGAUAUAUUUAUAAGAACCUAGAUUAUUGCCUACUUUCUUUUGUACUUAGCAUUAAAGUACAAUUAGAUAUAGGUACGAUAUUCUUUGAUUUUCUUUGAAUUGAUAAUCUGGACGUAUUUAAUAGUCGUUGAAUGAAAUUUUCUAUGGACAGUGUGCUACUGUGCUUCUUAACUUGUGUGUCAACCCACCUUACGUGUAAUAAACUCGAUUGCUUCUUCUCUGUCCAUGGCCGUCCGACAGGAGUUUACAAUCAAACAUAAAAUAAGAGACUGUUUCGUGUAAAGAGGAAAGGGUUUUUAGUGGGUCGGGAACACGCCAAGAUUGGCCUUCUCAUCCCCACACUCCCCCAGGCGCCAGAACAC